GGAAAAUCAAUUCUAGAACUUGUGGAUUGCAAUCAUAAGAAGACCUGGCUGGAUAAUAUUCCCUAUAGACAAUUUAGGAGGAUCAGGCAAAGUCGUUCAGAAAUUGAAACUUGUAGAACUCAAAGACAAUUCUUGGCGAAAGGAUAUGCAAAGGAUCUGAUGGAGGUUGCCAAAAGGAGCACUGGAAUUACCCAGGGAAGAUACCUUAAUUAACAAAAUGAAAC